rnacentral:misc_RNA from 1 species
AGCAGCCGCGGUAAUUCCAGCUCCAAUAGCGUAUAUUAAAGUUGUUGCAGUUAAAAAGCUCGUAGUUGAAUUUCGGGGUUAGUAGGUUGGUCAUGCCUCUGGUAUGUACUGGUCUCACUGAUUCCUCCUUCCUGAUGAACCUUAAUGCCAUUAAUUUGGUGUUUUGGGGAAUUUGGACUGUUACUUUGAAAAAAUUAGAGUGUUUAAAGCAAGCUAACGCUUGAAUACAUUAGCAUGGAAUAAUGAAAUAGGACGUUCGAUCCUAUUUUGUUGGUUUCUAGGAUUGACGUAAUGAUUAAUAGGGAUAGUUGGGGGCAUUAGUAUUCAAUUGUCAGAGGUGAAAUUCUUGGAUUUAUUGAAGACUAACUACUGCGAAAGCAUUUGCCAAGGAUGUUUUCAUUAAUCAAGAACGAAAGUUAGGGGAUCGAAGACGAUCAGAUACCGUCGUAGUCUUAACCAUAAACUAUGCCGACUAGGGAUCGGACGAUGUUAAUUUUUUAAUGACUCAUUCGGCGCCUUA